AUUGAACGCUGGCGGCAGGCCUAACACAUGCAAGUCGAGCGGUAGAGAGGUGCUUGCACCUCUUGAGAGCGGCGGACGGGUGAGUAAUGCCUAGGAAUCUGCCUGGUAGUGGGGGAUAACGCUCGGAAACGGACGCUAAUACCGCAUACGUCCUACGGGAGAAAGCAGGGGACCUUCGGGCCUUGCGCUAUCAGAUGAGCCUGGGUCGGAUUAGCUAGUUGGUGGGGUAAUGGCUCACCAAGGCGACGAUCCGUAACUGGUCUGAGAGGAUGAUCAGUCACACUGGAACUGAGACACGGUCCAGACCCCUACGGGGGGCAGCAGUGGGGAAUAUUGGACAAUGGGCGCAAGCCUGAUCCAGCCAUGCCGCGUGUGUGAAGAAGGCCUUCGGGUUGUAAAGCACUUUCAGCGAGGAGGAAGGGAUGUAUGUUAAUAGCAUGCAUUUUUGACGUUACUCGCAGAAGAAGCACCGGCUAACUCUGUGCCAGCAGCCGCGGUAAAAC
rnacentral:rRNA from 1 species